CGGGGCCGAACGCCAGCCCCGCCCCCUGCCCGCUGCAAGAGGGGAGCUGUCCCUGAAGGGGAAAGGACGCAGGAUCCUUUGCUCCAGACUCUUCCUCGUAUCUACAAUAAGAACCUCCCCUCAACCAUGCCUUGGAGAGACCAUUGAAGUGGAAACCUAGGGGGUCUUUGGAAAGUCGAUUGGAUGGUGUUUUGCUGGGGCAAACACAUGAAGGAACGAUUCCUUAAAGUGGACACAGAUCAAGAUGUAAGCUCUCACCUGUUGCUGUCACCAUGCCUUUGCCUCUCCAUUAGGGACUCCUACCCUCUGAAGCACUUCCCAUUUGUAGGCUAAGAUCCUGGAGAUUCACUGCCCCAAGCUGAGGCUCUUCCUUGCCACAGGAGCACUUCGAGACUCGUGUCUUUCUCAGUCAACAUCAGAAGAGUGUCCUCCUGCAGUAGACGAGAACAAAUACAGAGACCCACAGCUGGACUAUGUGCAGAGAGUGAGAGAUUUUCCAACACUCAGUUCUAACUGGGAUGUCUUCAUCACAUUUCUCCCCGAAGGGCUCAGGGAACUCUGUGGAAGAGAUGGCAGAAAGAGACAAGGAAUGGAAGACACCAAGGAAACAAGGCCCUCUAAACACAGUAAGACUGGUACACACAUGAACUCACAGAGACUGUGGCAGCAUGCACAGGCCUACCUGGGUCUAAGCCCGAUGGGGUCCCAGGACCAAGAAGGGAAGUAAGCAGAAGCCCAUGUUCUUAACCCUCAGUACCCAACAAAACCCCAACCCCAACUGCCCCUCCUUCAUCACCAUAUCCCGGCCUACAUCUCCAGUGGCCUCCUAUCCCCUCAGAGGCCAGGCCAGAAUCCUGAAAACCAGGCAGAAAUCUCCUAUUCCACCAGAGAACAGGCCAGAAUCCUCAACUCCAGAGGACCCCCAGGGCCAUCAGAAGGCACACACAUCAACAGACCUUCAGACCCAAAUGUGGGGAGAAACCCCCUACUUAACAAGAGUCAUUCAGGCCAUAAGAAGUCCAGUUCCCAACUCAGGUGGAGAUCCUCUAUUCAACAACAGGCCACUCCAGCCAGAAGACCAGAUAGGAAACAGAAACCAAGGGAUAAAACACCCAUCCAACA
rnacentral:sRNA from 1 species